UGGCCCUGAAAAGACAAAAAAAUUAAAAAAAAAAAAAAAAAAAAAAAAACAGUGGGAGGGCUCUUCGUUCUAGUUAUGGAUAGACUCCCUGAGCAGGACACCCAGCCAACUGAAGCCCCACUCAAAGGAGCAGGGGUACGGUCUGUCACUACCGAGGCCUGCCGUCCGUGUGGCAGGCAGGGUGAGAACAGAGCUCAUAACCUGAUCUGUCUCCUGUGAACAGGACAGGGCAGGAUGGCUAAAUAUAGACCAGCGUCCAGAACCAAAAACACACGGCUCAGGCAGCCUCACUGCGUGAUAACAGUUCCUUCCACCCUGCACAGCAGUUUAUGUUUGGAUCCUGGAGCUCUUCAUUCCUCUGGCCCCUCGAGGGAAGGUUCUGACACACUGCCUGCCCUGCUGCGCUUACUGAGCAGCUCGUUCGCAUCCGGGCAUUUAGCAGGCGCAGGACAUUGUGCUAAACACCAUCGGAGACACAGAGAUGGACUUCUGAGAGUUCACGGUCUCGUUGUGAAGGAGAGAUGUGUGAAUUCCCAACAUGAAAUAAACGGCCAAAGGAAGUAAUAUAAAAGCUUUAGAGGAAGGCAUGCUUGCUUCUCGCCAGAGGCCUUUCAGCAAGCAUGGCGUGGACUGUGGGCCUUCGUUUGCUUCUGUGAAAUGAGAUUCCCCCCCCACCUCCCCUGCCGGGAAGAGCAGGUUCUGCAAGGAUGUGUGACCAGAGACUGUGCGAGUGGCCUCUGAGCCACAGCCACUCCCGCUUCCCCCUGCGCCCUUCGCAGGAUCGAUUUCUGCUGAAGGGUACCGAGAGAUCCUAUCCGCCAAGGUCAGGGUCGCUGUCGCGUCUCCGAGAUGAUGUUCUUUCCCAGAUCCUUCCUCGGAAGGGGGAUGGGGAAGCACGGCCCCGAAAGGUCUCCCAGGGUCUCAUGUUACCGCCUGUCUCUGCCUCCCGUUUUUUCUUCCUCUGCUUUAUAGUUUUUAUAAACACUGAGAGACUUAUACUUUUGAACUUGGGGAAUUAUUUAUACUAAUCUUUAGUAGUUUGAGCCAGCAAAUGUUUACUUACCAUGCAAAUGUGAGUAGCCUUAUAAACGCAUGGCAGAACACCAGUCCCGCUGGCCAGUGUCCUGGGGAUCAGAUCUCUGACUUGACUUCCUGCGCCCCCACCGGAAUAGAGAAUGCGUCUUCAUUCUUCCUAAUGUAUCUUUCUCCUGGUACAGCAGAAGGACCUCUGGACUAGGAGAUCUGAGUUGUAUUUAUUUUAUUUUAUAUUUUGUCUUUUUAGGGCUGUACUCAAGGCACAUGGAGGUUCCUAGCCUAUACUACAGCCACAGCAACUCAGAAUCCGAACCGUGCCUGCAACCUACACUAUUGCUCACAGCAACGCCAGAUCUUUAAUCCACCGAGUGAGACCAGGGAUCCAACCCACAUCCUCAUGGAUACUAGUUGGGUUCAUUAAUCACUGAGCCACAGCGGGAACUCUGGAGAUCCAAGUUUUAACUCCGAGGUCCACGCGUGACCCACUGUGUGGCCUUGGACAAGCAGCCCUGCCUUUCUGGACCACAGUUUCUCCAGCUAUAAAUGAGAGAUCUGAGGGCGAGGGGAGAGGGCGAUGGUGGUAAGUGAGUAAUUAGGGUCCCUUCUAGUUGUCAUCUUCUGUGAGCUUUUGUAUAAAGUGAAGACAUUCUGUGUUUGGCUUUAAAUAUAUGAAUAACUUCGCUAAUAAUGAUGUGUGUCUGAGGAUUUUUGAGGAUUAGUCCUUCUUAAAUAAUUUCAGGUUGGGAUUGUGAGUUAAAGUGACCUGGAUCUGUUGAUCCAAUUUUGCCCUCAGCACCUGUCCGCGAGCUUUUGUUUUGAGAAUUCUCCAUCUAUCUGAUUCUUGUGUUUCCAUUAGCUUUCUCCAGGGACGGCUCAUCCCAUAGGCUCCUACCCCACUGUUUUGAGAAUGCUUUCAUCAGUCAUCUUCUCUCCAGUUAGAACCCCCAGAAUUUUGCCACCAUUCCACUUCUAGGAAUAGAGGAUAGGAUGUAACCCAUGUCAGCAUUUACUUAGUGUUACUGUUCACUCGUAUUUCAUCCCAUCACACCCUCAAAAGAACCCUAUCAGGUGGGUGUAAGGUUGGCAUUUGAUGGCAUGGCAGAUGAGGUACAGAGAGAUGAGACUUUUGCCCAGGGCCCUGUGGUGACAGCAUUUCAGAACCUGAGCUCCCCUGGAUCUUUCUGUUGCACACUGUUCCUCAGGAGUUGACUGUGGGAAGAUGAUACGGAGGGCCAGGAAGAACAUAGAUGAUUUCCAGUUUUGCAUUUUGAGGAUACAAAGGAAAAGAAAUUUUUUUGGAAAAAUUUGUCCUUUCAUUUGGCUUUCAGAGCUUGCUUCGCCCUUGAUUUUUUCAGUAGACCCUAAGCCUUCCACCUCUGGAAGGGUUAAGAACCAGCGAUUGUUAAACACCAAACCAGUGGAUCUGAAUCUGCAUCUCUGUGUAAAAAUAACUCAUUGGAUCUUACAUGGACAGCUACUUGGACAUCGGCGCUCAGGCCAGAAGUCUGGAAAUGUCCAUUUUCUUCUUGCUGUGUAACUGACCUUCCUAAGGACUCAAGACACAUCCUUACCGCAGGCCUGCAGCCACAUACCAAAACCAGCCCAGCCAUGUCCCAAAUAAUGUUUUCCUCUAUCUGUACCGUUCUUUCCUUUCUUCAAGAGGUACCCAGGCAAUAAAAACAAAUCGUAAGAACAUU